UACGUAGGGGGCAAGCGUUGUCCGGAUUUAUUGGGCGUAAAGAGCGUGUAGGCGGCCAAGCAGGUCCGCUGUGAAAACUCGAGGCUCAACCUCGAGACGUCGGUGGAAACCGUUUGGCUAGAGUCCGGAAGAGGAGAGUGGAAUUCCCGGUGUAGCGGUGAAAUGCGCAGAUAUCGGGAAGAACACCCGUGGCGAAGGCGGCUCCCUGGGACGGUACUGACGCUGAGACGCGAAAGCGUGGGGAGCGAACAGG
rnacentral:rRNA from 1 species